CACAAGUUCUAUUUUGUUUCCAGUUCUCUCCCUCAUCCCACAUGUGGGGAGUGAGCCAAGCCCUGUGUGGUACUGAGCUGCUGUUGUGUUACACAACAACAGUCCAAGGCAUGAAUAAAGCCAUCACAGGCUCAGGUAUAUCUUCACCAAAUGAAGUCACUGCAGUGGACAUAAGGAUGAAUGUAAACAGUUGCAGCUGUGUAGUACUAGGGAGGCAUUACUGGGAAAUAGCUUACCUAUCUAUCUUUCCGGACAAAAGAGGCAAAAUAAUGACAGAAUCUGUUGGGGAUGUUUGGUAGCAUACAGAGAAGAUAACAUCUACUUCUCUCCAAGCAGGUAUUUAUAGACACAAUUUUAUUUCACUUGGGGGCCCUACUUAUUUUGCUCAGUAGCAAGUUAUUGUUCUUGCAAUAUGCAAAUAUUACUUGUAUAUUUGGUGGUUAAUCAGGCAGAACUCUAGCUUUCAAUUUUCUGUCACAUCACAGACAAAAGCACUCUGAACUGGAGUCACUUAUUGAAAAUCUUUACAGGAAAAAGAAUUCUAGACUUAAUAGCAAAGAAUAGCAAAAAUGAAGAACUGUUUCCAAAGGCACAGUAAGGAUCUAUGGUAAUUUCAAGCUUUCAACUUUGGUUUUCAAGGAAUGUGGGUUAAUACAUUUUAUUUACAGUACAGAUCUAUUUGAAAAUACCAAGUCAUAAAAAAUAUUUGAGAAUUUUAACAAUAACACUAUUCUUGGAAGAGAUCUUCCCUGUUAGGUAGGCAAUGUGCCCUCUGUACUAAAUUCUCAGCCCUAAAAUACAGAAAUAAUACAAAAUAUAAGGCUUACAUUGAUUGUAAAAGUAACGCUUAUGAUGUGAAAUAGAAAGUCACUUUUUCCAACUGAUAAGCAAUAGCAACUAGCAGUGAAAAACUCCAGAAGCAAUCUUGCCAGUAUCCAUACAGUGACUGUUCUGCUAACUGGACAAUAAUUUAAUCAUUCAUUUCUAGGACACAUCAUCUGUGUAUUACUUUUAAUACUUUAUCUACUGUAUUAAGAGGUUCAACAAACACACAUCCAAAAAGAACAAGGAAAAAACAGAAUUUUAACUGGAAAUUUAAAUGUGCUGAACUUAUACAAAGCUCUUAUGCAAGCAUCAACUGGAACAAUGAUUUUUAGCAUCACAAUACAUCUUCAAUACAUCUUCAAUAGAAGUCAAGCAAGAAAGAUGAAUAAGUAAAGAUAAAGAAAGAACGAAUCAUUUGAAAAGAAUGAGUGAAAAGGAAAUAAUGGAUAUAUAUAAAAAUUGGUAUAAGUACAGGAAAAAUCAGCUUCCAUGAGAGAAAGCAAAGUAGCUACAGUACACUGGUAUUUCAUAGAACAGUCAAGGCUGGAUCUUUUGCAAUUGUAAUAACUGUAAUAAAGACUUAAUAACACUUUGAAAGUUAAGAGCAUGGACAUCUUCUGUAGUGUACCUCUUGUGUCAGAGGUGCCAAGCAAUGCAGGCAGUUAACAAACCAGUUUCUGCAGAGGUGAGCAGCAGAAACUGACCAAGAACUGAAAAUUUGUGCAUACUGAAGUUUAAUGAAGACUCUUUUAAAGUAAAAAAGGCAGCGAAAACGCUUUGUAAAACAGCCUUACUGUGAAAGAAGCUUGGAUAGGAUGCUAUGAUGCCACCUUUUCUUCUGAAGGUACAGAUGACAGAGGGCAAUGCAAGGCACACAGAAAGAUAUUUAUCAGUGUCACCAUAGGAACCAUUUUGCAGAACUGUGUAGGAGCAAAAAGCCUGACUGAUGGAUGCAUUUGGUUUAAAAAAGAAAAGGGGGAAAAAAAAAAACAACAAUAAACAAUAAGCCUGAAAUAUAAAUCAGCUACAAUGUACUUGGAUUGGAAGACAGCACCACAUGGGACCUGAUGCAUGGGCAAAUCAAGAUAAGAGCAAAAUCAUAGUUCAAUUCACUGUAAAGACAUUGCAGAUGCACAGUGAAAUAUGCAAUCACCACAGAAGGAAAUGUUAAAGCAAUCCAGAAGAGUAUAAAAUGAGAAAAAAUACAUCUCUUCCACACACAGUGAAACAAACUGGCAAUGGCAGCAAACUGUUUCCUUGGAGACAUCAAAACAAAAGUUACGCGACUUUCAGUCAGCAGUGUUUUACAGUAGCACAGUAAGAGCUUCACAAAAUGCUUCAUCUGAGGGUUAAGUGCAUUUUCUGUUAGCAGAGUAAUUUCUCCAAAAUGAACAGAAUCGUACUGUUACAAAAUCAAUAGAAAAACAAAGAUUUCUUCUGCAGAUUGCAAAUAUGGAAUUUGUAUUAUUUACAAAUACUUCAUUGUUAUUUGUUUUUUUAAAUGGAUCUAUUCCAAGCCUUAAAUUUUCUAGCUUUUGUGGACUCAAAUCCAAACUGAGAUUUUCAGCCUGUAUGUAAUGGGAAACAUUUCUUUGGUUCUGAGCUACUCUGAAUCUCAUAUACAUCAAUGACAGAGCAACAAUUUUAAGCCAAUAAUUUUUAAUUAAAAAAUAUAAUAAUAAUAUUAA